CUUCAAUUUCAGUGGCAAGGAACAAAGUGGAGGUUUGUCUCUCUCCCAUUUGGCAUUUCUUUUACUUCCUGGUGCUUCACAAAAGUUCUGAAGUCGGUAGUUGCCUUUCACGCACGUGAGGAGUAAGCUUAAUGAUAUAAUUAGACGACAUCCUUCUCCUGUCUCAGUCACAAUCCCAGCUUCACGUUCACCUGUCUUGGACAACUUAUCUUCUCCGAUACGUGGGGUUUCU